rfam:Schistocephalus solidus strain NST_G2 genome assembly, scaffold: SSLN_scaffold0000344
GACCUCGUAGCUCAGGUGGUUAGAGCGUUGGCUGUACUAAAGCCUUCCUCUUGCUGGCGUGAGUUCGAAUCCCACCGAGGCCA